rnacentral:rRNA from 1 species
GUGCAGCAUCCGCGGUAAUACCGGCAGCCCGAGUGAUGGCCGAUCUUAUUGGGCCUAAAGCGUCCGUAGCUGGCUGCGCAAGUCCGUCGGGAAAUCCACUCGCCCAACGAGUGGGCGUCCGACGGAAACUGCACAGCUUGGGACCGGAAGGCGCGACGGGUACGUCCGGGGUAGGAGUGAAAUCCCGUAAUCCUGGACGGACCGCCGAUGGCGAAAGCACGUCGCGAAGACGGAUCCGACAGUGAGGGACGAAAGUUAGGGUCUCGAACCGGAUUAGAAACCCUUGUAGUCC